UACGUAGGGUGCAAGCGUUAUCCGGAAUUAUUGGGCGUAAAGAGCUCGUAGGCGGUUUGUCGCGUCUGCUGUGAAAACCGGAGGCUCAACCUCCGGCCUGCAGUGGGUACGGGCAAACUAGAGUGCGGUAGGGGAGAUUGGAAUUCCUGGCGUAGCGGUGAAGUGCGCAGAUAUCAGGAGGAACACCGAUGGCGAAGGCAGGUCUCUGGGCUGUAACUGACGCGGAGGAGCGAAAGCAUGGGGAGCGAACAGG
rnacentral:rRNA from 1 species